AUGAAGCUAGAGAUUGGUAAUUCUACAAAUCCCUUUGCCGCUGUGUGAGCAAAGAUUGGAGUCCUCAACCCACUGGCAUAGGACCCUGCUAAUGUUGUGGCCUCCUUUGAAGUUUCAAUUGGUCGAUCAGGGGCCACAACCUAGACCUUGGAGGUGCCUAAUUUCACUCCGAUGGCCCCUGGUCCAGGGUAUACCUGUGGACCUGCAAGUUCGAUAAACCUACAAAAGUUCACUACACCAGAUGGAAGGAGGAAAACUCAAGCCCACAUGACAUGGAAUAUGACUUGUACCUACUCACAGUUUUGCGCUCUGAGGUCUUCUACUUGCUGUUUAUCCCUCUCAGUGUUUUACAGCGACACGCUUGUUACCUGCCCCAAAUGCUCAAGUGGUUGCCAAGAUAACAGUACAAAACCAGGAAUCUGUGUAGAGGGAAUCUUGCCUUAUCUUGAUUCUGUCAUGAAUGGUCAAGACAAGAAUGGCUUGGCACCUCUGGUCCAAUGCACUACUCAUAUGUGCCCAAUAAGAGUUCAUUGGCAUGUGAAGGCUAACUACAAGGUGUACUGGAGAGCCAAGAUCAUAGUGACAAACUUCAACUACCGGAUGAAUUACUCGCAGUAGAACCUAAUAGCUCAGCAACGUAAUUUCAACAGCUUGACUAGCAUUGCCAGCUUCAACUACACAUCUCUGAACCCUUAUGGACUUAUGAAUGACACCACUCGGCUAUGGGGCAUCAGGCACUACAAUGAUUACCUCUUGACUGUUGGACCUGAUGGAUAUGUUCAGUCUAAGCUACUAUUCCUGAAGGACCCGUCAGCAUUCACCUUGCGGGCAGGAUGGGCCUUUCCAAGAAGAGUGUACUUCAAUCGCAACAAGUGUGUGACGCCGCCUCCAGAUGCGUACCGAUGGCUGCCAAACGCAUCCACAAAAUCAACUGUGUCAGUUAUCGUCCCAUUGGUUCUUUGGAUAUUGCUAGCUAAUCCCUACUUCUGA
rnacentral:rRNA from 1 species